AGGGGAAUAUUGGGCAAUGGGCGCAAGCCUGACCCAGCCAUGCCGCGUGAGUGACGAAGGCCUUAGGGUUGUAAAGCUCUUUUGGCGGGGACGAUAAUGACGGUACCCGCAGAAUAAGCCCCGGCUAACUUCGUGCCAGCAGCCGCGGUAAUACGAAGGGGGCUAGCGUUGUUCGGAAUCACUGGGCGUAAAGCGCACGUAGGCGGACUUUCAAGUCAGGGGUGAAAUCCCGGGGCUCAACCUCGGAACUGCCUUUGAUACUGUUGGUCUCGAGUCCGAUAGAGGUGGGUGGAAUUCCUAGUGUAGAGGUGAAAUUCGUAGAUAUUAGGAAGAACACCGGUGGCGAAGGCGGCCCACUGGAUCGGUACUGACGCUGAGGUGCGAAAGCGUGGGGAGCAAACAGG
rnacentral:rRNA from 1 species